rnacentral:rRNA from 1 species
AAGCCCAGCUUGCUGGGUGGAUUAGUGGCGAACGGGUGAGUAACACGUGAGUAACCUGCCCUUAACUCUGGGAUAAGCCUGGGAAACUGGGUCUAAUACCGGAUAGGAGCGCCUACCGCAUGGUGGGUGUUGGAAAGAUUUAUCGGUUUUGGAUGGACUCGCGGCCUAUCAGCUUGUUGGUGAGGUAAUGGCUCACCAAGGCGACGACGGGUAGCCGGCCUGAGAGGGUGACCGGCCACACUGGGACUGAGACACGGCCCAGACUCCUACGGGAGGCAGCAGUGGGGAAUAUUGCACAAUGGGCGAAAGCCUGAUGCAGCGACGCCGCGUGAGGGAUGACGGCCUUCGGGUUGUAAACCUCUUUCAGUAGGGAAGAAGCGAAAGUGACGGUACCUGCAGAAGAAGCACCGGCUAACUACGUGCCAGCAGCCGCGGUAAUACGUAGGGUGCGAGCGUUAUCCGGAAUUAUUGGGCGUAAAGAGCUCGUAGGCGGUUUGUCGCGUCUGUCGUGAAAGUCCGGGGCUUAACCCCGGAUCUGCGGUGGGUACGGGCAGACUAGAGUGCAGUAGGGGAGACUGGAAUUCCUGGUGUAGCGGUGGAAUGCGCAGAUAUCAGGAGGAACACCGAUGGCGAAGGCAGGUCUCUGGGCUGUAACUGACGCUGAGGAGCGAAAGCAUGGGGAGCGAACAGGAUUAGAUACCCUGGUAGUCCAUGCCGUAAACGUUGGGCACUAGGUGUGGGGACCMUUUCCACGGUUUCCGCGCCGCAGCUAACGCAUUAAGUGCCCCGCCUGGGGAGUACGGCCGCAAGGCUAAAACUCAAAGGAAUUGACGGGGGCCCGCACAAGCGGCGGAGCAUGCGGAUUAAUUCGAUGCAACGCGAAGAACCUUACCAAGGCUUGACAUGUUCUCGAUCGCCGUAGAGAUACGGUUUCCCCUUUGGGGCGGGUUCACAGGUGGUGCAUGGUUGUCGUCAGCUCGUGUCGUGAGAUGUUGGGUUAAGUCCCGCAACGAGCGCAACCCUCGUUCCAUGUUGCCAGCACGUAAUGGUGGGGACUCAUGGGAGACUGCCGGGGUCAACUCGGAGGAAGGUGAGGACGACGUCAAAUCAUCAUGCCCCUUAUGUCUUGGGCUUCACGCAUGCUACAAUGGCCGGUACAAUGGGUUGCGAUACUGUGAGGUGGAGCUAAUCCCAAAAAGCCGGUCUCAGUUCGGAUUGGGGUCUGCAACUCGACCCCAUGAAGUCGGAGUCGCUAGUAAUCGCAGAUCAGCAACGCUGCGGUGAAUACGUUCCCGGGCCUUGUACACCCCGCCCGUCAAGUCACGAAAGUUGGUAACACCCGAAGCCGGUGGCCUAACCCUU